CUUGUGAGGCGAUCUGGAGACCUUUUCUCUAAACAAUUCCACAAAGAGGUUGUGACCAUCCCAGACUAUGACACUACUGGAGACUCAGAUACAAGCCCAGAAGCAGCUCCUAAAGAAGAGGGUGAGCUGCCCACGUGCCUGCUGUGUGUAUGUCUGACUGGGUCGGUGUACUGUGAGGUCUCCCCUGAGAUGACUGCAGUUCCAUCCCUGCCCAAGGAAACUGCAUAUCUCUACGCACGCUACAACAAAAUGACCAAAACCACCAACAAAGACUAUGCAGACAUUGUGAACAUCUCUAAAGUUGAUGGUCUUUAACGUUUUACUGCAACCUUGAGAAGAAUCGAUCUGAUUGGGAACCUAAUCUCUGAGAUAGAAGAUGGAGCUUUCUCAAAGUUUGCACUCCUUGAAGAACAACCAAGGGUGUAAAAUCAACUGCUUUUAAGAACAGUAAUAUCACCACGCUAUCGGAUGAGACCUUCUGCCAAGGCAACAAUACUCAGUACAUCAGAGCCAACAUGGAGGAGGUGAGACUGGAUGGCAACCCUCUAAUGCUGGCCAAGCAUCCCAACAGCUUUGUCUGCCUUAGGGCCAUGCCCAUUGGACCGUACCACUGAACCAGUGGGAUAUAGAGGACCAAAAUACUACAGACCUCAGUGACCUAUCCUCUCAUCCUCCUUUCAUUCAGUCUGUCAGUUACCGAUCCUCUCGUCCGCUCCUCCACCUCUCCUCUCCAGAAAUGAGAAAUGUGUUUGUUUUGUAAGUUACAAUUGAGUCUCUUAGGAUGUCUUGUCAAGUUCAUGAUUUGUUAAAUUGUUAUCUUAAACGACAUAACUAUAUGCACAAUACUCUUUACACUGUUUUUCCUCUAUUGUUUUAUAUUUCCAAUAGCAUAUGGAUAUUGUAUCAAUUGCAUUGAUCAACAUUUUAAGUAAU